rnacentral:lncRNA from 1 species
UGGUUGAACUAGACAAAUUAUGGUAUUAGGAGAUGACUUUGAGUGAAAAAAAUUGUAUCCAAGGCGUGGUAUUUAUAGAGACGGAACAUCAAUGGUACAAAACACGUGGGCGUCUGAGGGAUUGGCGCCCACACAACCAAUCACACAUAGGCGCCAGAUAAAUUGGCGCCCACACCAACCAAACACACACAGACGCCACUAGCAUUGGCGCCUCCUCAUGAGGGUCCAAUGCAUGCG